GGAGAGUGCAGCCCCGGGGCCAAGAGCCUUGUGAGGGCACUGGUUUCCUGGGCUGCUGGGAGCGUGCAGCCCCGGGGCCGAGAGCCUUCUGAGGGCACUGGUUUCCUGGGCUAUUGGGACUGCUAGUCCUGCUGGCCAGUGUGGGUGUGGCAGGGCCCAGCUGGGCUUCCCUGCAGGCUCACCCUGACUGGUACCUCUGACCCUCUGCACAGGUCAAGUGCAUCGUGCUGCAGGUGCUCCGGGGCCUCCAGUAUCUGCACAGGAACUUCAUUAUCCACAGGGACCUGAAGGUUUCCAACUUGCUCAUGACCGACAAGGGUUGUGUGAAGACAGGUGGGUGCAACUUGGGCCAGGCCCUGUCCCUAGAUGGCACUUGGUGACACACACUCCCCUCUCUGCUGCAGCGGAUUUCGGCCUGGCCCGGGCCUAUGGUGUCCCAGUAAAGCCAAUGACCCCCAAGGUGGUCACUCUCUGGUAAGUCCUUCUGAAGCAUGGUGGCCCCUGGGGACCAGGCCUGUCUGGUGGAGGUCUCCUUGGGGAUGUCAGGCCGAAGCUGCAACUGGCCUUGGGAAUGUUAAGCUACAGGGUCUGUGCACACUCAGAAACGUUGGGUCUAGGACAGCCUCCAGGACACAGCAGGGCUGUGCCACAAAAUGGUGAGAGACGGGCUCAGUGGCGUCAAGGGCCUGCCUAGAUCAGACACACCUCGCCUUGAGAGCUGGAAA
rnacentral:lncRNA from 1 species